UACCUGUCUGCAAUCUUGAAGC
rnacentral:miRNA from 1 species